AACGUGUGCUAAUACCGUAUACGCCCUUCGGGGGAAAGAUUUAUCGGGGUANGAUGAGCCCGCGUUGGAUUAGCUAGUUGGUGGGGUAAAGGCCUACCAAGGCGACGAUCCAUAGCUGGUCUGAGAGGAUGAUCAGCCACAUUGGGACUGAGACACGGCCCAAACUCCUACGGGAGGCAGCAGUGGGGAAUAUUGGACAAUGGGCGCAAGCCUGAUCCAGCCAUGCCGCGUGAGUGAUGAAGGUCUUAGGAUUGUAAAGCUCUUUCACCGAUGAAGAUAAUGACGGUAGUCGGAGAAGAAGCCCCGGCUAACUUCGUGCC
rnacentral:rRNA from 1 species